UACGUAGGGUGCGAGCGUUAAUCGGAAUUACUGGGCGUAAAGCGUGCGCAGGCGGUUCGUUGUGUCGGCGGUGAAAGCCCCGGGCUUAACCUGGGAAUGGCCGUCGAAACUGGCGAACUGGAGUGUGGCAGAGGGGGGUGCAAUUCCGCGUGUAGCAGUGAAAUGCGUAGAGAUGCGGAGGAACACCGGUGGCGAAGGCGGCGACCUGGUUCGAUACUGACACUGAGGUGCGAAAGCGUGGGGAGCAAACAGG
rnacentral:rRNA from 1 species